GCUCCUUAAGUGAGGUCGCUCUCAACCUAAUUUUCAGAUUUCCUCCCAACUCGAAAACAUUCCCUCCUCUACUUCUCGCAGUGCUCUCUCAACUCUCUUGAACGAACUCUGAAUUUUCCUCAUCUCUCUUCCUCCCUCGUCGUCACAGAUCUCUCUCUUCAUCUGUCUUUCUCUUUCUGCUAUGCGUCUCUCUCUUGACCAUUCACUUCUUUUGCUUUGCAGGUCGUGAUCGAUAACGUCGUCUGCUCUCCACUUCGACUUUACUCAAGGUUUCUAAGCUCGCCAUCUCGUCGGGCCGUCGUGCUCUUUCAGAUCAAACCCAUCGAAACCCUAAGCUUGCUCCUUCUGCAACAAAACCUCCAAAGCCGCGAAGGCCUCUGCAACAGUUGCAUCGCAGUGUGGUUUUAAGAUGUUCACUAGGGCUGCUGCAAGAAAGCUUUUCACUAACAUCCGUUUGAACAGGUGGUGCUUUGAUGUUGAGGUAGUUUACCUAUGCAAAUGGUUCAUAAUUCGAAUGAUCGAGAUUUCUGUGAACUGGUGGAUCAAAGGAGAACCUGUUAAGCAUGCCAAAUAUGCUUUAGGAGCUUGUGCUCAUGUCUGUUGGAUAUAGAACUGCUAUGUAAUUGCUAUUAAAUUUUUGAAAGAAACGAUUUGGGUAUAUUGGUGAAUUAUGAAAUUACUAUUGAAUCUUCAAGUUUUAAGAAAGAAACAAUUUGAGUACAUA